GUGACCAGGUAGGAAGGCCGGCCUCGGGGGUCGGAACCCACCAUGGUUGCUGGUGUCCACGUUGCCCAUUGCUCGCACACUCCUCGUGCCGUGUUGUCAUGCAGAUGCCACCUUCGGAGGUGCCCUCCGCUGUGUGAGCCACACGCCGGCUGCCUCUCAGCCACCGUGUGUCUGUGGUGUGUGAUCCCGGGUGUCUGUCCCUCGGUCUCGUACAUCCAUGUCUCUCGUGAAGCCCGUGGCCCUGCCUUUCUUCUUCUGUAACCUGAUGGCUGUGACUGAAUGCAUAGAUUCUCUCCUUGUGCUUUUUUCUCCCUGUGGCUGCGUCACAAGCAGGAGACGGAUGCGCUAGAGAGUACCUGUUACCCUAACCUUGUGCCGGAGCCGACUACUGGAGAUGACAGUGAUGCUGCCACCUUUAAGCCAACUCUCCCCGAUCUGUCCCCUGAUGAACCUUCAGAAGCACUCGGCUUCCCAAUGUUAGAGAAGGA
rnacentral:lncRNA from 1 species